UAAGUUCAUGCUGCAUGACAGCACGCCACUGUGGGUGUUGAAUAGCCUGUGAAAAACUUGUGGGCUCUUUGAGAAGGGUCAGUUGAGUAGUAUAAACUCUUCAAAUGCAGCAAGCAUUUGUUUAGCUGUGCGAGAUUUAUCUAAAAGGCGAAGUUCCAUCAGUUGGCUUAUCAGGUUCAUCUUCAUCAAGAGCAAUAUGCGAGUCAUGACACAAGAUAACAAGUUCUAUGCUAUUUUCCCACACAAUCCAGCUCUCAAUAUUUACAUCAUUUAAAAUCUUGGAAGUAGAAUAAGCAUCCCUAGCUGCCAUGAUUAAUUAGAAACGAAAAUCAUUCACGUUUUUCAUCCUGCAAAAUCCACAAUCAUGCAUGCACAGCACGAAAUUCAUGCAAAGCUUAAACUAAACAGCAAAAACAAGAACUACUUUUUUUUUUUCUAAAACACUCAUGUUACUGGUGGCCUUAAAUGGUUUUUUUUUUUUUUGUGUGUGUGUGUGUGGGUGCAAAACUGAAGUUAUUGGCGUAAUAGAUUCCUAAAAGUACAAAACAAAUAAUACAUUUGACCGAGAAUAUAUGAAGUAUCUUAAUUGUAUCUUGAUGAAUUCUUCUGAUUCUUUAAGCAAGACCAAAACUAAAAGGCGAGAGGCAGCCCAGAAGCAAGAAAAAAAAGGAGAUGAUUUAACAACUUGCUUACAAAACCAUGCUUUCAUGUGCUGACAAACUGCUUUGUUUGGUUUCUCUUCUGCGACUUCACUGGAUACAGAGAGAGAGAGAGAGAGAGAGAGAGAGGCACUUGUUAUUUGUUAAACUCUGCGGUUUCAAGAAGGAGAGCCGUCUGCUUUGUUACUUUACGUAGCAUAUUCAUAGGCCUGGGCUCGAUUUUAUGAAUGGAGGGUUUUUUUUAAGACAAAAAACAACUAGUGCCCCUGUACUUUUAAUUUUUUAUCAUAUCACACCCCAAAUAUAUGAUAAUUAUUUAUUUUUAAA